rnacentral:rRNA from 1 species
UACGAAGGGGGCUAGCGUUGUUCGGAAUUACUGGGCGUAAAGCGCGCGCAGGCGGUCUUCCAAGUCAGUGGUGAAAGCCCGGAGCUCAACUCCGGAACUGCCAUUGAAACUGUUGGACUUGAGUACGAGAGAGGUGAGUGGGAAUUCCCAGUGUAGAGGUGAAAUUCGUAGAUAUUGGGAAGAACACCGGUGGCGAAGGCGGCUCACUGGCUCGUAACUGACGCUCAGGCGCGACAGCGUGGGGAUCAAACAGG